AGGCAUCCUACUUCAGUAGGAGUUAUCAGAGACACAGGCUUAGGCCAGACAGGCUCUCUGUUACCUCCAUCUGCAUUGGAGAGGGACGACAAAAUCAGCCUGCACAGCUGUGUGGUAGCAGAGUCCCUGGACCAGAGAUACAGCCCAUUACACUUGAAG